CUUCUUUCUCGCCUUAGAUAUAGCUGUGCCACAUAAAUUUCAUAAAAAUAAGCUCUUGGUUAGCCGGGUGUGGUGGCGCGUGCCUGUAAUCCCAGCUCCUUGGGAGGCUGAGGCAGGAGAAUUGCUUGAACCCGGGAGGCAGAGGUUGCAGUGAGCCGAGAUCACACCACUGCACUCCAGCCUGGGCGACAGAGUGAGACUCCGUCUCAAAAAACAAACAAACUAACUAACUAACAAAAAAGCUCUCAGGAAAAUGGCCUGAACACAGAUCCCUCCUUUGGAUGGAGAUGCCAAAUUUGGAUCUCCAGGGCACCUCUAAUUUCUGAGGGUGGAGGCAGAGAGGCACACUAUUGGGGUCCCCGGAUAAUUUUGUGGACAUGAAGGCUGAUGUCCACUGGAGACGUCUAGUUGGCUCCUCGCUUACUAAAUUCAGCAGCUGAUGGCCCCUACUCGUUGCUGGACAGCAUAAACAUCAGGUUCUGGUAAAUAAACUCAGGCUAUCAUGCAACUGCCCAACAUGCACUUAAGCUGUGACUGACAGUUUGCUGGGGGCGGACUUAGAGUCUAGGGCCAAAGCUUUUGGGUGCAGAGACUCCAAGGUUCCAAGAUAAACAAAUCUGUCGGUGAGAGUGACCAGAGUGUUAGGUCAGUCCAAGGGUCACUUAUAGGUCAUCCUGCUGGGAGCUUGGUCUCUGCUUUGUGUUUAUGCUGGGGAGAAAAGCAGGAGGGGCCAGAGGGUUGGGUCUCCACUGGGAAAACAUCCCUGGCCUACUCAUCAGAGCCUCUGGAAGUGGAUUGGUAUCCCCUCUGCUCCCAGGAAUCCAGUAAAAGUAGCAUCUCUUCCUCAAAGAUGAGCCAGCCGUCAUUUGAAGAGGAGGAAAGACUGGAUUGGGGAAGAAUCUGGGGCAAAAUGAAGCCAAAAUGAGAACGAGGAGAAAAGAAGAUGCUAAGGCCGCAGAUAAGGAGGUCUUGAGUGUUACAGCUCUUUUCGAAUUUGUCUAGCAUGCUUUCUGCUUUUUACUGGAAAGUGCCCCCCCUCCAAAAAAAAAAAAACGAAUAAAUAAAAAAGAAAGAUUUAAAAAAUAAAAGAGAAAGAAGGGCCUGGGAAUUGUGGCUGCUCAGAGGACACCCAGCUCUGAGUUCAGUAGACUCUGAUGAAGUGCCGCUUCUGCUUAUGGUUGUCCCUUCCCAUCUAUCCUGGUUCUGUUUAUCCUGUCUCAUAUCUCUCAGGAUAGUCAGGGCAGCUUCCCCUGUUCUCUUGCCACUGGCUCCAACAUCCUGCCUGUCACACGUUCUAUCUUUUGCUUCUUCAAAAUAUCUCUAAGAUUGACUCUUCCUUUCCUCUCUCCAUCAAGUUCCAUCUCCCGGGCUGAUCCUGCUCCUCUGCGAUAGAUUCUGCAGAUGGUCCUGUGUGGCCCAGUCUUCCAAAUGCACCUCUUCAGGGAUGCCCAUCCUCAGUUAGAGAAACGUGAGUGACCUCGAGGCCCUGCAGGGGGUUCUUCCUUCUGACUCGGCAUACUUAUUUCUCACUGCACCUGAAAGGAAACCCUUCAAUGCAGUUUUUGGAGCUGUCUCCAGUCCCCAGUCUCUUCCUGACCCUGCAUUCCUGCACUGGCUGAGAUAAACCUUUCUCCUCCUCACUUAAUCUGCCACUUAAUCUGCAUCCUGCCAUCCAUGAAAAUACUCCAACCCAGGCUGAAGUCUCCUUCUUCGCUUGCAUAUUAAAUGAGCCUGCCAUUGCUGGGCAUGUCUCUAUCCUCUUGCUGGUGAAAAUGGUGUUGCUUUCAGCCAAAAGCCUUUGAAAACUUCACAGAGCCAUGUCAUCUGUCACAUACAUUGCAAAGAGCAAAACUGGUCAAAGUUAAAGCAAAUUUAGUCGUUUAGCAUAGGGUUGUUUUUGAAUGAUCCCAGGGAUGUUAGUUUUGUCCCCCCACCUCCCAAUUUGCUACUGCUGCUGGGGUGUCUGUGAGCCUCUCACAGCGUGUUAUUUAGGGCUGGGCUCAGGGGCGGGGGGAGACGCUCACUACACACACGCUAAUUGACUUAUUGAGUUAGUCAUUUGGUCUUUGACAAACAUUUAUUUACUGCCUACAGAGAAGGCUCAAGUCGAUUUUUACUUAUCUUCCCAAAUGGCACCAAAAUUCAACAAGAGCCACCCAACACCUAGGAAAGGACUUUGACCAAUGAAAGCAACUUGAGAACAGGUUUUGCUGCCUUCAGCUCACCUUGAGCAGGGGCCA
ensembl:lincRNA